AGCGAACGUUUGCGGCGGGCCUAACACAUGCAAGUCGAACGGGCAGUCCCUUCGGGGGCUGUCAGUGGCGCACGGGUGCGUAACACGUAGGUAAUCAACCCUCGGGUUCGGGAUAACACUUCGAAAGGGGUGCUAAUACCGGAUGCGACGAGCGUCUCCUCGGAGAUGCACGGGAAAGAUCCGCAAGGGUCGCCCGAGGACGAGCCUGCGGCCCAUCAGCUUGUUGGUGAGGUAAUGGCUCACCAAGGCUAAGACGGGUAGCUGGUCUGAGAGGAUGAUCAGUCACACUGGAACUGAGACACGGUCCAGACUCCUACGGGAGGCAGCAGUGGGGAAUAUUGCGCAAUGGGCGAAAGCCUGACGCAGCCACGCCGCGUGAGCGAUGAAGGCC
rnacentral:rRNA from 1 species